CCCUAAGAAGGCAUGGCUACAGUUUCCCCUACAAUUCCCCUUUUAGUCUAAAAGAGGAUUAAAACUUAACAGUAUAAAGUAUCCAAAAUUAACAAUCAUAAAGGUAAAAUAUAAGAAGAUAUAUACAUAUCCCAACCUCCCUGUCAUUUAGGGAUCAGCUUUUUUGGCCAUUUCAGACUACUGGCUAUUUUGGUCCAUACAGUUGGUCUGUGUUGCCUGCUUCCUGCUGAGCAUCUCUGUUAGAUCUUCCUGCCUGAGACCUCUGUUUCAUCUUGAGCCAGACCUGAAGAAAAUAUCUUUUUCUUUAGACCCUUGGGAAGCUGUAGUCUAAAAGGUUCUCUCAGUAAACCAGACAAGCCUUGCAGUAUUCUUGAUACUGUGUCAUCUUUUCUACUAGGAACUGGCCUGUCCAUCUGACUCUUAACUUACAGGACACAGUGAAUAUGGUCUUUUGUAGCUUUCAAAGUUGAGUUAUAGGCAGUUUCCUGGCCUGGACUUUUGGGAAUACUUGAGAUAUUCUAUCUUCAAAUACAGCUACCAUGUUUAGGAAAGACUAUAUGAAGUCUCUCACAUCUCACAUUAGCAGCCUAACUCAUCUCCCAGCAAUCAACCAGCUAGUGUGCAGACUAGCAAGGGCUCUUUCCCACCCAGCCAAGUGUUUUUGUAUAACUCAUCCAUCCCAGACAGCAACGUGAUAUUCACCUGUGAGAACCACCAGUGAAUCCAGGCAGCUUACAUAACUAUGAAAGAUCAGAAUAAAUAUCUGUUUUGAGCCUCUUACUUUUACUGUUUUGUUACAUGUCAUUAGAACAGGCCUUAUAAAAGGCUUUGAGAAAGGGACCAAUACAAUAUACCACCAAUUUCCAAGUCAGCUGUGGAUGUAUCAGAGUGGAAGGAAUGUGUUAAUCACUCAGACUUACGUGCUGUUUCCUCUCGUUCUUCUCUGUUCGUCAGUUCAGGCAAGUCCACAUCAGUGCAGACACUCUCAGUGCCCAUUUCCUGAUUCAAACUUGUCAUUCCUUCCAAUCAGAAGGGAUAGAAAACCAGUCUCAAAAUGGCUUUAGUAAUAGAGUCAGAUAAUUGCAGGCAGGCAUUUCCAGCUGCAGAAAAAACUUUGAUUAUGGACUCACAGCACUUAUACUUUUUCUAGAUCUCUUUCUUCCUUGGCUCCUCUUUGUAGCUUUCUAUACAUCUUUAGACUCCCUGCAGAUUUCAACAGCGGCAAGUUUCACAUAGUAAGAUGGUCAGGUGUGAAUUCUGGCCCUGCUCCUUGAUAUCUGGGUCAUGGGGCGUGAGUCCUCAGCUACUCUGGCUUUAAUAUAAACUUCUGUAAAAUGGGAACAAUAAACAUAGACCCCAUGUAGUUGCUAUAUUAAAUUAGCACACACACACACACACACACACACACACACACACACACACACACACACAAAGAAAUUCAAGCAGUGCCCAUGAUAUACAGCAGUAGAGUCAUAGUAGUUGUUUAUAGUAAUAAUAACAUCAAGCAUAGGAAAGAGAAUCUGCAAGUAUCAUUUCCCAGAGGGUACUCAGAUUCUCACCAGAUUUCCUGAACACAUUAUGGGGUCUCAAAGGAAGACUGACAAUUUAGCUCAAAAUAACUCAGAGUUCUAACCUGAGAGAGGGAAGGGAGUCAAGGGUGAGGAAUGUGUAACUCUGCUAAGAAGGGUGGAGAGACUAUUCUUGGAAAACAGUUCAGAUCACCCAGUAAGAGAAACUCAGUGUCAGAUCUUAUUACCAGACCACUGUACCCAGCUUGAGAGCACCUUCCAUCUUCUCUCAAAGGCAACUGAAAAGAGCUUCUGUUGUGAAACAAGAGAUGUCUUCUUGGUCUUCUCAGCAUCUCCCUGUGUAGCCAUGUGUCCUUGCCUACAAGGGGCAUCCAAAUGACUCCAUGCUGUCAUUAUGACUGUGGAUACAACUGGAUUUGUGUUUUCCAGAACAAAUCUGGUUCAUGCAAUCUGUAGCCCAUAAAUCCUUUCCCUGUGGAGUAAGAGGAAAAUGCCACACUACAAAUGAUACAUGUUGUUUCUUAGUCUCAAUGAAACAUUUCUCUCUCUUGUACAUAAUUAAUUGUUAAUUGAAAGCAUAAUGAAUUAUAGCUGCCUAUAAUUAAUUUAGCAAGAGAUUUUGUUGAAAUAUGACUAUGAGUCUUUCUCCAGACUUAUCUUGUUUUAGAAAUCAGAGGGAAAGUUGUGCACAAAUUCUUUCACAGCCCAGUGCGUGUUAAGCAUCACAGAUUGGUAGGGUGUGGGAAAGGUGUGAAAGGCAGCACAAUGAAAGGAUGGCCUCCACAGGGACAGCAUCUGUCACUGGAGCUAUCUGUCUCUCUGGCAAAGUUACUUGGCUCAGGUCUGAGGGAGACAGCCAUUGUUGCCAGUAGUCACUAAAAGCCUCAAAAAGGAGCUGAGGAAUUGCUUCAUGGCUUAAGCUCUUCAACUGGGUUAUUUUCAAGUUAGAGGGAGAAGUGUCCUGUCAGAGCAAAUAAAUCUGUUCUCUUCUGGAUGUCAGAUUGGGACAGGAGGGGAAAUGAUCUCCAGAUCACAAAUUAUCUGAGUGUCUCUGCAUUGGGUCAGUUGACCUCAGAUCCUAGCAUAAAUGUUCCUAAUAAUAAACUCCACAGUGAGUAGGACCUAUGCUGAAGGUUUUAUGAGUUUACUAUAUAACAUGUCUCAAAGGUCGGAGAGGGAUAAUUGACAGUUCUCUUAGGACAUUUGAGCUCAGAUAGCUGAUAUUCUCUUCCAGAGAAGCCUCUAGAACCACGGACUCACUCCAUUCUCUAGCAGCUUCAUUCACUCUCAGAACUUCAAAACAGGGCGCUGGGCCAAGAAGUAUAGAGAAAAUUCUUUUUCACCAUAUUUUAUCAAUAGUAUGCAAUUAAAAUGUCUUUGAAUUUAAGCUAUCAGUAUCAUUUUUCUCCCUUUGUUGAUUCCAUGCUGAUUAUGUUCUUAACUUACAAAACUCCUUUUGUGGUCAAUUGUAUUCACAGCCAUUUUCUCCCUGCUCAGUCUCAUUCUCACACACUCCUCCUGUCCAACUGGAGGCUCUGCCUGGUACUCACCCCCUUCUCUCAUCAAUGCAAGCUGCUCUCCACCACAGUCUGCACUCAUCAUCACUGCAACAUGUCUUCACUCCCAAUUGCAUCUUUUUCACAUCUCCACAUCAUUAUUUUUAUUAUUCAUAAUAGAUUCUUCUCUCAUACAAUACAUCCAGACCUAAGUUUUACCUACCUCCACUCCUCACAAGCUAUCCUCCACUUUUCCUCUCCCCGAAAACCACUUCACCUCCAUCUCCCUUAAGAAAAUAGCAGGCCUCCAAGAGACAAAAAACAAAUAUGAUCAAAAAAGAUACAAUGAGACAAGGAGAAAGCCCUCAUGUCUGAGCUGUAUAAGGCAACCCAAUAGGAAGAAAAGAGUCCCAAGAGCAGGAAAAUUAAUCAGAGUACCCUUUCCUCCUGUUAGGAGUCCCACAAAAACACCAAGCUGUCAGCCAUAACAUAUAUAGAAGACCUGGUGCAGACCCAUGAAAGCCUUGUGCUUGCUGCUUCAGUCUCUGAGAACCCAUAUGCCCUGCUUAGGUGAUUCAUUGGGACAUGUUCUCUUGGUAUCUUUCAGGACAUCUGAUUCCUACAGUUUUUCCUCCUUCUCUUCCAUGGGGUUUCUGAGCUAUGAAGGGAAGGACCAGGUAGAGACCUUCAAUUUAUACUCUGUCUGCACAAUGUCCUGCUGUGGGUCUCUGCAUCUGCUCCCAUCUGCUGCUGGAGAAAGCCUCUCUGAUGAUGACUGGAAAGGCACCAAUCUAGAAACAGACUCGAUCUCAUCUUGGAAACCACAGAAGUUGGAAAGAACUCAGAACCCUCCUAGAGAGGAAACCAACCUCGAAGUCUCCAUAUAGUCAGAUAACAAGCAGGAGAAGAGUGGGCAGCUGCCAUGUACUGAGGAAAAACAGAGAUGCAGACCCAACAUUCAGAGACACCCUCUGAACUGUACCUGGAGGAGAAUGGACAUCAGCAGCCUGAGAUGUAGAAGAGCCACACAUUCAACUGACUUCAACUGGAGACAAGCAGUUGAAGUGAUUGGAGGUGUAUUUACAGGCCAGACAUAAUAGAGAAGGAAAAAAAACAGAACAUAACAAUAAAACUCUACCUAACAUUUUGUU